rnacentral:rRNA from 1 species
UACGGGGGGAGCAAGCGUUGUUCGGAUUUACUGGGCGUAAAGGGCGCGUAGGCGGCCAGCACAAGUCAGUUGUGAAAUCUCCGAGCUUAACUCGGAAAGGUCAACUGAUACUGUGCGGCUAGAGUGCGGAAGGGGCAACUGGGAAUUCUUGGUGUAGCGGUGAAAUGCGUAGAUAUCAAGAGGAACACCUGCGGCGAAGGCGGGUUGCUGGCCGACACGUGACGCUGAGGCGCGAAAGCUAGGGGAGCGAACGGG